rnacentral:lncRNA from 1 species
AGAUAUGAGAGGUAUAGCUGAAAAAGACUGGUUUCAAAUAUACUCACUUUGAUGCUGGAUGAAGCCUGAAGCCUAAUCUCAAAGAAGCUAUAAACCUGGCUAUUGUGAAGUUUUGGGAGUUGAGGCCAAGGACAUUUAAAAGAAGUCAGCCAGGUGAUAUUGGCUAUAGACACAAUUAACAACAUGCUUGCAGUUAGGUCUGUGCUCCAAGCUGGAAGGGACAGUUAUUCAGCAGAUGGACAUUAAAAGAGGAAGGAUCAAAGGGUGACAUCAUUGGAACUUAAGGUCUAGUAAUGGAGGGCCAGGUGGACACCAGAAGGAUAAAA